ACAUGCCUACAACAUAGUGUUAAUGCACUGAAUCCUAUUCAAACUCCGCAGUUAAGUGCGCUCAGGUUAGAGUAGUACUGGAAUGGGUGACCGCCCGGGAAGUCCUAGUAUUUUACAUGCC
rnacentral:rRNA from 1 species